UACGUAGGGUGCAAGCGUUAAUCGGAAUUACUGGGCGUAAAGCGUGCGCAGGCGGUUUUGUAAGUCUGUCGUGAAAGCCCCGGGCUCAACCUGGGAAUUGCGAUGGAGACUGCAAGGCUUGAAUCUGGCAGAGGGGGGUAGAAUUCCACGUGUAGCAGUGAAAUGCGUAGAGAUGUGGAGGAACACCGGUGGCGAAGGCGGCAUCCUGGACCGGCAUUGACGCUGAGUGAGCGAAAGCCAGGGGAGCAAACGGG
rnacentral:rRNA from 1 species